ACAGGCCAUGGUGGGUGCAGAGCUCAGAGCCGGAAAGCAAACAGCUGCUGUAGCCUGAUUUGAGUUAAAAUAGUGUGAGUGUUUAGUCUGGCGCACGGCUUCAGGGGAGAUUGGCAGCUGGGUCAAACAAAGUCCUUCCAUUGGCUCCCUUCCCAGGCAGCUUCUGCUAGUGUUUAGGUACUAGUGCAGUGUAGAACCCUUUUCUCAGGCAAAACCUAACAUCUGACCGCACCCUUUUUGCUAUUAAAAAAAAAAAAAAGCUUCUAUUUUUUUCCUCCUGUCGUUAAGAUAAAUUCUCCAGUAGACAACCUCUCCCACUAAUUGUGUAUUAGCAACGUAUUUUAUCUUGAGAGCUUGUACACUGGGCUCUCAACGUGGUGUGGAAGGUAGCCUGUUACAGUGCUGGAUUCAUAAAAGGGCCUUUAUGGUUUGUGAAAGAAUAUCUGUGUGCUUAGGGAGGAAACUUUUUGAUCUGCAGAAAAGCCAGAAGACAUCUAGGACAUCCAUAAAAAUUCAUCAGAGAGCAUUUUACUACUGAGCUGCAAAGGGAAAAACUUAAAAUGGAUAUGAAAAGUGAAGAAAGUGAUCAUAGGAGAAAACCAUUUCAGAUAUCUGUGGAUAUCUCUCCAGAACUUCAUGUAUAUAUGACAAGAGCACCUCAAAGGCAGCAGCCUCAAGGAGCAGCCAUGGCCCCAGACUUGUCGCACGGAUGCAGAAAACUUAAUGGAGGAGGCUGAGGUCAGAAUGGGAAGAGUUUUUAAAAAAUAAAAAGGGGAGCUAAUAUGU
rnacentral:lncRNA from 1 species